rnacentral:sRNA from 1 species
CACGGGUUAUCGUUCACCGAUUGUCAUAAUAUUUCGUAUGUUGCUUAUUAGGAUCAAAAGUAGAACGUAUGUAGGUUAUGCGUUUCUCUAUUCGAACAAAAAUUUUCUCCUUAACGAGUUGACUAUGAUUUAUAAAAAUAUUUUAACCAGUAAAGGUUUGGCAUACAGGAGAAUUAAUAAAACAUCUUCCUCGAGCACCUUCCCAAGCUAUAACGUAAAAUAGAAAAAUAUUUAUCUUAUACUUCCCCACCGAAAGACAAAUUGUAUAACAUAUUACUCACGUUCCAUGUAUACACAACGGCGCACGCCCAAUUUACAUGCAUUUGAAAAGGUACAGUAGAUUGUAGUGCCAUCUCUGCGCCUUAGUGAAGCACAAACAGGAUCAUAAAUCUCGCCACACAUAAUCUGACACCGAGGCACUCGAGCUCCACAUAUAUGGAUUAUUGUGAAAAUCGUUAAUAAUAUGAACAAUUUGUAAGACAUCAUGUUUAACACUAAAUUACACCAGAUGGUAAGGUGGGUAUUUAUACAAAUCAGUUGCAAUUUAUAGCUUGAGUUUAACGGUAUACAAAUAUGUAUGUCUUUUAUAUUCCGUAAAAAUAGAUUAAAUGUGUAUGAAAUUAAGGAAGACACUUGAGUCAAUAAACUAGAGUAAAUAUAUACUACAUAUAUAGUAUGGAUA